rnacentral:rRNA from 1 species
UCCUACGGGAGGCAGCAGUCGAGAAUCAUUCACAAUGGGGGAAACCCUGAUGGUGCGACGCCGCGUGGGGGAAUGAAGGUCUUCGGAUUGUAAACCCCUGUCAUGUGGGAGCAAAUUAAAAAGAUAGUACCACAAGAGGAAGAGACGGCUAACUCUGUGCCAGCAGCCGCGGUAAUACAGAGGUCUCAAGCGUUGUUCGGAAUCACUGGGCGUAAAGCGUGCGUAGGCUGUUUCGUAAGUCGUGUGUGAAAGCAGCGGGCUCAACCCGCGGACGGCACAUGCUACUGCGAGACUAGAGUAAUGGG